rnacentral:rRNA from 1 species
CGGGAAUAUUGCGCAAUGGAGGAAACUCUGACGCAGUGACGCCGCGUAUAGGAAGAAGGUUUUCGGAUUGUAAACUAUUUUAGACAGGGAAGAAAUUGACAGUACCUGUAGAAUAAGCUCCGGCUAACUACGUGCCAGCAGCCGCGGUAAUACGUAGGGAGCAAGCGUUAUCCGGAUUUAUUGGGUGUAAAGGGUGCGUAGACGGGAGAACAAGUUAGUUGUGAAAGCCCUCGGCUUAACUGAGGAACUGCAACUAAAACUAUUUUUCUUGAGUGCAGGAGAGGAAAGCGGAAUUCCUAGUGUAGCGGUGAAAUGCGUAGAUAUUAGGAGGAACACCAGUGGCGAAGGCGGCUUUCUGGACUGUAACUGACGUUGAGGCACGAAAGUGUGGGGAGCAAACAGGAUUAGAUACCCUGGUAGUCCACACUGUAAACGAUGGAUACUAGGUGUAGGAGAUGAUUUCAUCAUCUGUGCCGAAAGCAAACGCAAUAAGUAUCCCACCUGGGGAGUACGGCCGCAGGGUUGAAACUCAAAGGAAUUGACGGGGGCCCGCACAAGCAGUGGAGUAUGUGGUUUAAUUCGAAGCAACGCGAAGAACCUUACCAGGGCUUGACAUAUACAGUGAUAUUUAAGAGAUUAAAUAGCUCUUCGGAGACUGUAUACAGGUGGUGCAUGGUUGUCGUCAGCUCGUGUCGUGAGAUGUUGGGUUAAGUCCCGCAACGAGCGCAACCCCUGUGAUUAGUUACUAACGAGUAAAGUUGAGGACUCUAAUCAGACUGCCGGUGAUAAAUCGGAGGAAGGUGGGGACGACGUCAAAUCAUCAUGCCCUUUAUGUCCUGGGCAACACACGUACUACAAUGGUCGUAACAGAGAGAAGCAAAGCAGUGAUGCAGAGCAAAACUUAAAAAGCGACCUCAGUUCGAAUUGAAGGCUGAAAUUCGCCUUCAUGAAGUCGGAAUUGCUAGUAAUGGCAGGUCAGCAUACUGCCGUGAAUACGUUCCCG